rnacentral:rRNA from 1 species
GAGACAGGUGCUGCAUGGCUGUCGUCAGCUCGUGUUGUGAAAUGUUGGGUUAAGUCCCGCAACGAGCGCAACCCUUAUCCUUUGUUGCCAGCGGUUAGGCCGGGAACUCAAAGGAGACUGCCAGUGAUAAACUGGAGGAAGGUGGGGAUGACGUCAAGUCAUCAUGGCCCUUACGAGUAGGGCUACACACGUGCUACAAUGGCGCAUACAAAGAGAAGCGACCUCGCGAGAGCAAGCGGACCUCAUAAAGUGCGUCGUAGUCCGGAUUGGAGUCUGCAACUCGACUCCAUGAAGUCGGAAUCGCUAGUAAUCGUGGAUCAGAAUGCCACGGUGAAUACGUUCCCGGGCCUUGUACACACCGCCCGUCACACCAUGGGAGUGGGUUGCAAAAGAAGUAGGUAGCUUAACCUUCGGGAGGGCGCUUACCACUUUGUGAUUCAUGACUGGGGUGAAGUCGUAACAAGGUAACCGUAGGGGAACCUGCGGUUGGAUCACCUCCUUA